CCCCAACCGCUCCGCUUACGCUACGGGCGUCCCAGCGCUGCGCCACCUGCGGCCCUAUGCCUAUUCACGUAAGCCAGCUACGCCCUCGGCCGACGGGACAAAACGCUGCUCCUCGAGGGAUACGAAAGCUACAAAGAAUGGAUUCACUGAGAAGAAACAUCUCUCUGUUUUAAGGUAGUGCACCUACCACAAAGGGUGUGAGAGAGUUGGGUUUUGCCUGUCCGGAACUCUGUUAAAUAAAGCGAAAGAGAAAAAACAAAGUUUUGUUACUGGAAACACAGAUGGCAUCAGGGAAAUCUUUCCUAUAUGACAACUGGUAUUAGUAAUGCUAUGUUGUUCUGAAUCAGCACACUCUGAGUCCAAUGACUGCUCAAACUUAGUCUACAAGCAAAUGAAGAGGAAAAAACUUAGAAAAGUGGACUCUUUCUUCUUACACUUGUGCAGGUAUUUAUUCAUCUUUAUGACUGAAUUGUGAUAAGCUUGAUAGAAGUAAUCCAGCUUGAUUUAAAACCUACCCUAAGUUGCAAUUCUUUGUUCAGUAAUGCUCAUUUAAUGUGGUUUCUCACCUCCGAAAGCCUCAGUGAUUGCCAUGCUUUCAAUCCCACCACCCAGAAGUUUACUGGAGAAAGGGAGAGUAUCAUAAAGUUAAACCCACAAAAUCACAAGAGGGAAGUAUAAAAAGAGAAAUUUUUGUUACUUUAAGAGAAGUUAUUUCUGCCAAGUUAUUUCAAGCCCCCUCACUUGAUGCAUUAAGUGCAGGGCGCUAAAUGAUCGCUGGUUCAUAAAGAAUUAGCUCUGUCUCAAACUUCCUUUCUGUGUGCAAGAGAAAGUUCUAUAGAAAUUAUUACCAGAAGGAAAUACCUUUGAAAAGGUAACACUCCAUAAAAAUAUCUCAAGGGAGAUCUCGAGGACUUAUAAUUUUGACCUUAGACCUGCAAGGUAUUUUGACUGGCUGAAAAAACGAUGAAAUGUUCAGGAUUUCUGGAUGCAAACUCUGUUUAUUUACAGUACAAAGCCCAGUUUCUCAAGGCCAGGUUAGAUAGGGCUUUGAGCAGCCUGAUCUGUUGGGAGGUGUCCCUGCCCAUGGCAGGGACAUGGAACUGGAUCAUCUUUAAGGUCCCUUCCAACCCAAACCAUUCUAUGAUUCUGAUUUUCCACACAAAAGGAGUUGGUUUUGUUGUUUACUGAUGCAGGCAGCUUUGAGCCAGCACUAGCUCCAAACACAAGGUAACCUAUGUGUCCUAGCUGAAUGUUUGUUCCUUUAUAUUUUUCAAGUCUCAUUAAAAGACAAUAAAUGUGAUUAUUGGAACAGUCUGGACUAAGGAAGGAUUUAAGCAGAGAGAAGCUUACUCAAAUUCCUGGCUGCCAGUAGUAAUGUGAAAUACCAUCUUCCGUUUUUCGCUGUACUCAAAGGCGGUUAGGAAGCCCGGUUCCUAAGGAAGAGGAAAGAGAACAGGAGAGGUUUAUUUUGGCUUUAACCUGAGGGUCAAGUGCAACAUCCCACAUAAAUAUCUCCUCCCUACCCUAGCCUCAUUUACACAAGCUGGGUGUGGAAAGCACCACAGCAUUUGUCUGGAUGUUGUAGAGUAUAGAUUAUCAUCCCUUCAGAGUAAAAAGCAGAAUAAUUUUCAAAAUUAUCUCCAUGAUUUGGUGAAAAAAAUCUGUUAAGAGAAAUGUUGCACAGCAUUUUGGAGUGGGCAGUGUAAGUUUAAACUAUCAGGAAAGCAAUGGGCUUACAAUAAGCUUGUUUGCGGCUUCUUUAAUCUUGUCCACUUUGGCUUCUGAAAGCCCUUUCACAUUGCACAGUGCCCGUCUUGUGGUCAUCUGGAUUCCUUUGAUCGUGCAGAUCCCAACGGACUUCAGUUUUUUAAUAUCU